AAAAAAUGCUUGUAAAGACUUUA
rnacentral:snRNA from 1 species